rnacentral:rRNA from 1 species
AGAGUUUGAUCAUGGCUCAGAUUGAACGCUGGCGGUAGGCUUAACACAUGCAAGUCGUGCGAGAAAGUAUCUUCGGAUAUGAGUAGAGCGGCGGACGGGUGAGUAACGCGUAGGAAUCUACCUAGUAGAAGGGGAUAGCCCGGGGAAACCCGGAUUAAUACCGUAUACCUCCUUUGGGAGAAAGAAGGCCUCUCUUUGAAGCUUUCGCUACUAGAUGAGCCUGCGUAAGAUUAGCUUGUUGGUGAGGUAAAGGCUCACCAAGGCUACGAUCUUUAGCUGGUCUGAGAGGACGAUCAGCCACAUUGGGACUNANCNCNCGNCCCAGACUCCUACGGGAGGCAGCAGUGGGGAAUAUUGGACAAUGGGCGCAAGCCUGACGGAGCAAUACCGCGUGAGGGAAGACGUCC